UCAGCACAUAGUUUAAUACAAAGCACCUUGCUUACACCAAGAAUACACCCGUUAAAUCCGAGUUGAGCUGA
rnacentral:tRNA from 1 species